CCCGGGCAGACAAGCCCUAGCUCUGGGCCUAAGAAGGGGGUGUGUCACCAUGGCCUGGAUCCCCGUCCUCCUCGUGCUCCUCUGUCACUGUGCAGGUUCCCUGUCCCAGCCUGUCGUGACUCAGCCAGCCUCCCUCUCUGCAUCUCUGGGAGCAACAGCCAGACUCACCUGCACCCUGAGCAGGGACAUCAAUGUUGGAAGCUAUAACAUAUACUGGUACCAACAGAAGCCAGGGAGCCCUCCCCGGUAUCUCCUGUACUACUACUCAGACUCCAGUACACAGUUGGGACCUGGGGUCCCCAGCCGCUUCUCCGGAUCCAAAGAUGCCUCGGCCAAUGCAGGGCUCCUGCUCAUCUCUGGGCUGCAACCUGAGGACGAGACUGACUAUUACUGUGGUAUAUAUCAUGGCAGUGGGAGCAGCUAUCGUUACUCACAGUGAUUCAGAUAACGAGGA